GCCCUCGGGCGGACCUGGGCGGCCAGGGCGCGGGCGGGCGGGCGAGGGACCCGCUUCCUCCGCCCGGCCGGGUGUCGCUCG
rnacentral:miRNA from 1 species